rnacentral:rRNA from 1 species
UACAGAGACUGCAAGCGUUAUUCGGAUUCACUGGGCGUAAAGGGUGCGCAGGUGGCCAAGUGUGUUAGGCGUGAAAGCCCGGGGCUUAACCCCGGAAUUGCACCUAAAACUACUUGGCUAGAGCAUUGGAGAGGGGAGCAGAAUUCAUGGUGUAGCAGUGAAAUGCGUAGAUAUCAUGGGGAAUACCAGAGGCGAAGGCGGCUCCCUGGACAAUUGCUGACACUCAGGCACGAAAGCUAGGGGAGCAAACAGG